UACGAAGGGGACUAGCGUUGUUCGGAUUUACUGGGCGUAAAGCGCGCGUAGGCGGAUCGCUAAGUCAGGGGUGAAAUCCCAGGGCUCAACCCUGGAACUGCCUUUGAUACUGACGAUCUGGAGAUCGGGAGAGGUUGGUGGAAUUCCGAGUGUAGAGGUGAAAUUCGUAGAUAUUCGCAGGAACACCGGUGGCGAAGGCGGGUCUCUGGGCCGAUACUGACGCUGAGGAGCGAAAGCGUGGGGAGCGAACAGG
rnacentral:rRNA from 1 species